UACCUUUACUUAGCCUCACAACAUGGGCCUUAGCUUUAGCACUUAAUCUGCACAAAUACCUGGCUUAAGUGUUAUGACUGACUGGCUAUUCAACCAAACCAUACAAAUGACCAAUUCGGUAAGAAAGCAUGAACUUCAGUGUUGAACCAAAUCAACCAACCUCCUCAAUCCAAAUGAACAAUGCUAUUCUAGGAGUCUGUGCUAGAAUAAAAUCCUAAUGCAAAGGCUGUCUUAAAAUGCUGAACCCAGAAGAAUUUGGCAUAAAUAAGACAUGGAGUUAGCUGACAUGAGAUAUUACAUUUAUUCCACUGUUGACGAGGACAAAACUGGGCCGCUAUUGUCACAGGAGAGGAUAACAAAGGAAGCUGAGGAAGUCUGUUCUGGAGGCACCAUGACAAAGCACCAGACAGAAAGCAGUCACGUGUGGGGAGAUGAGCAGAGACACCACUUCUCAAGCACCUGAUUAUUCUUUCUCAGUAUUUAGAAGCAAAAAUUAUCCUUAAGAAAAACAACCGCAAACGCAACACAGGCUACACAGAUGAGAAAAUGGGGUGAACAUAAAGAUUUUUCAGUCAAUAGCAUACACUGAACAUUGCUUCUAUAUAAAGAGCAGUGUUUCUCAAAGUGUGGUCCUUGGAACAGCAGCAUCAGUAGCAUCGGCUUGCAGAGCUCAAACCAUUACACCAUUCAGAAGCUGGCUUUGGUAUUACUUCAAGUUAUUCAAAACAGUCACCACUUGCUGAGCCUCUGAUGUCUCAUCUGUUGAAUGGGUACAUUUUCUUCCUGAUCCUUCCACCUCUAAACUUGUCUAUUUCCAAGGAUCUAUGGCAUCCAGGCAUAUGAUUUCAAGAGAGAAGGCUGAAAAGGAAGGUGACUGGAAUAUUAAGAACUGUGAGAUAUUCUGAGGAAACUCUAAUUUGUAAAUUGGUAGAAAUGCCAGUAAUUUGUUGGGAAUUGAAGACCCUCUGUAUUCAAGAGCGAAGCUUGGCAGCUGUGCACUGUUGUUUUAUAAAUCAAUAUUACAUC
rnacentral:lncRNA from 1 species